rnacentral:rRNA from 1 species
GAUGAACGCUGGCGGCGUGCCUAAUACAUGCAAGUCGAGCGAACGGACGAGAAGCUUGCUUCUCUGAUGUUAGCGGCGGACGGGUGAGUAACACGUGGAUAACCUACCUAUAAGACUGGGAUAACUUCGGGAAACCGGAGCUAAUACCGGAUAAUAUUUUGAACCGCAUGGUUCAAAAGUGAAAGACGGUCUUGCUGUCACUUAUAGAUGGAUCCGCGCUGCAUUAGCUAGUUGGUAAGGUAACGGCUUACCAAGGCAACGAUGCAUAGCCGACCUGAGAGGGUGAUCGGCCACACUGGAACUGAGACACGGUCCAGGCUCCUACGGGAGGCAGCAGUAGGGAAUCUUCCGCAAUGGGCGAAAGCCUGACGGAGCAACGCCGCGUGAGUGAUGAAGGUCUUCGGAUCGUAAAACUCUGUUAUUAGGGAAGAACAUAUGUGUAAGUAACUGUGCACAUCUUGACGGUACCUAAUCAGAAAGCCACGGCUAACUACGUGCCAGCAGCCGCGGUAAUACGUAGGUGGCAAGCGUUAUCCGGAAUUAUUGGGCGUAAAGCGCGCGUAGGCGGUUUUUUAAGUCUGAUGUGAAAGCCCACGGCUCAACCGUGGAGGGUCAUUGGAAACUGGAAAACUUGAGUGCAGAAGAGGAAAGUGGAAUUCCAUGUGUAGCGGUGAAAUGCGCAGAGAUAUGGAGGAACACCAGUGGCGAAGGCGACUUUCUGGUCUGUAACUGACGCUGAUGUGCGAAAGCGUGGGGAUCAAACAGG